AACAAAAAUAAUUUUGUGGUUGGGGUCCCCACAACCUGAGGAACUGUAUUAUAAAGGGUCCCAGCAUUAGAAAAGUUGAGAAUAACUUGGUACAUGAAGGUGAGGUCUCCCCCAGCAAGGUAGGAUCACUCAGUUCCAGUCACCCAAGCCAGAUCCAAGCACUUCCAGUGGUCAAGUCCAGUCCAGGGCCCAGGCACUGAGUGGCGUUCAGCCGGGAGCCGUGACCCUGGCUCGCGUGCCCGUGGGCAGGUGUUCCGGACAUUUAGCAAAGCAGCGCGCCUAAGAGGUCGCGGCCCCACUGCCGGCCGCGCGCGCGACUCUGGCGCGCACACUGCCCUGCCAGCCCACAGCACCCGCCCGUGGACCGCAUUCGCUCGGGGCGCGCAUGGGCCAGGCCCGCCUCCGCUGGUUUUCGCUUUCGCUUUGCACCUACUUUGCAGAGAAACAAAGCGGCCACGACGACUAGAGAUGCGUCAGCGGUGAGGGGAGCUGAGAGCGGCGGCCUGGACCCCGGACCCACAGGCGAGGUGGCAGCAUGUCCUGGGCCUCCUUAUGAUGUCAGGCAACUAAGAAAGAAGAAAAUGGAGUCCCUCCUCCUGGAGACUUGCUAGAAAGCCAGCCAUGAGCGUCAGCGUGUGCAGCCGCUCAGGCGAAAGCAGCAUGGAGCUGGUACCCUGCAUCCUGGAAAGUUGAAGACGACCAGUCUCUUAGCCAACCUGGGAACAGGACAACGUGACCUGCCUCAGCCUGUCUCCCACACCUGGUGAAAGGAACACGUCCCGGGCUGCAGCACAGACUCUCACGUGCUGAGCGCUCAGCAAGUGUCUACCCAGAACACAUGGACCUGGAGGACUCUUCCAGAAGCCUUAAUGUUCUGUUUUGUUUGGGGGAAGAAGCAUUUCAACCCUUGAGUGACAUAGCUUCUAGCAGAUUAAUGUAUUCUCUUGCAUCCCACGCCACUCUGAGUCCUUUGGUCAAGUGCAUCCAUCCGAAAAACACUCCCCACCCCCAGCAGCCCUGUCUAGCCGAAGCCAGGAAGCCUCAAGCCCCUUUCAGUUCACUAUCUGAACUCAACCCUACAAGGCAGAUCAGAGGCACUGCUCCAAGAUCCUGCUUUUAGUUCAGCCCACUCACUGUGGAUGGCAGAGAAAACCCAAGGCUUGGAUCCCUAGCACUGCCUGUCUGCAGAGCCCCCUCCCACAGCAGGAGCUUCAUGGUCCCUGUUUCUAGAUGGGCAGAUGGGGCCCAGGUGCCCAUGGAAUGUAAAAGUGCCUCGGCCCCCCUGGAACUGGAGUGACAAGCAGUUACAAGCAGUCACACCUGGACCCUCUGCAAGAGCAAGAAAUACUCUUACCUGCUGGGCCAUCUCUCCAGCUCCAGCUUGAGACAUCUCAGUGGAUCUGCUUUCCCAGUGCUUUUGAAACUCCUGGUGCCUGCAUCUCUCCCGGACCCCAAAAGUCCCAAAGAAUUUGUUGUGAAUUAAAAUAAAUGAAAUUUUUUUUAUUAAAGGAUGACAUAAACGAAAUAAAGCACAAAGCAUAAGUGUAAAUGGAUGACAUUUCCUCAAGUGAACUUAGCCUAAGUAACCAGUAUUGAGCUGAAGGACAUCACCUGUAUCCCUUGUUGCUGUGCCUAAGUCUGCAGGGAAACAUCAGGCCUGUCUGCAGGGUCGCAGCUGGAUACAGUGGGCACGCUAAUAGUCACAGCUGGGAGCUCGGAGCCGGAAGAUCAGAAGUGCAAGGUCAUCCUGAGGCCUCUUCAGUGCCUUCAGAAACUGAGGAAGGAAGCCAGCCGGGAGCCAUCCCUGGGGUGGGAAUGGGGGCUGGAAGAAACCAGAACCCUGUGAAUUGCUUCUGCCCUCCUGUGACCAAAAUAGCCUAAGGGAAUGAUUCAAGGCAGGCUUGUCUGCACUUCAGGGGACUUGAAGAAACCGAGAAAUUCAUGUAAAUGACCCAACCAGGGUGGCUGUCCCCAAUCUGCUCCAGGCCUACAAUCAUCUCAGCCAAGUAUCCUUAAGGAGUCUCCUUUCAUAGACAAACACCUCAUUCACUCUGCCGGACACCUGGUCUCAGGGAAGAAGUCAGCUGCCAGUAGCAGUGGCUGAUGCUGGAGUUUACAGAUACUUUAGUGAGGAAUCCAAGGCCUUCCCAACUCAGCCCCACUGGCCUAACAGUCUCUAAGGUACCGACUUGGUUCACUCCGUCCUCACUUCCCUACUUGGAAUAAGCCCUGUGUCACACUUAGCAAACUCAGUUGAGUGAGUGUGUAGGUAAUGCAUGCUGGCUGCAAAGCACAGUCAUUAGAACCCAGCUUCCCAGGCUGCCCAUGGGCCCCUUCUUCUCUGGGAGGCCUUGGCCAUCUUAAGCUAUCCCUCCCAGUUGGAGCCAGCCUCCUUGGUCAUGCCCAGGGCUUUUUCCCCAAGUGCUGUUCUUUCACAGGAUGCCCUGUGGAAGUGUUAGUGAGGUCCGUGUUCCUUUAGCGUCUCCAAUCUCAGUGAGCACAGCUCUUUACGCUCUGACCUGGUUACACCAGUUAUCCAGUCUGCAGAAGCGACUGGCGUGUCCAGAUAGAUCCUGAACAUGCAGAAUCAGAGGUGUGGGUGGGGAAAUGUUGAUUCCCAUUCUCUCAUUGGCUGCUAAUAUAUUUGAAUUGUCAUGGUGCCGCUGAUGGCUUGGCCUCCAGCCCUGCAGAACAUCUCAAGGUUGUUCCUCACCUAUUUCUUUUAAGAGAUUUUGUUUUUAUUUUUAACUUUGUGUAUAUGCCUGUAAGUGGAUAUGUGCAAAUGAGUG